rnacentral:tRNA from 1 species
GUGAGCAUAGCUCAGUCGGCUAGAGCGCCGCGUUGUGGUCGCGGAGGUCGCGGGUUCGAAUCCCGUUGCUCACCC